AGCUUUGCACAGUGGCAGUAUCACAGCAAAUAAAGUUUAUCCAAGGCAUGAUCAUUGCUAAAUGAAAACUUUUCCCAAGACCCCAUCAUGAUGACUUACCAGUAUAGUUGGCAUUGGCAAUUUCUGACAGUCUCUAUAGAGA
ensembl:snRNA U4 U4 spliceosomal RNA